AUCCAGCCAUCAAACUCCACCAAAUCCGUUUCUUCUUUGAGAUCAUUUUCUGUCUUGAAGGUAAGUAUUCUGAGGAAUUUUUUUUUUUUUUUUGCAGUUCUUACUGUGUCCAAACAGAAUAAAAAUCAUGAUAUCAUACCAUGAACAUCAGACUAAAAGUCAGGAAACCUGGACGGGAUCCAUUUGUGUUUUGUGAGAUAAUGGGCAACUCUUUCAGCUUCUUCAAGCCUCAGCUUUCUUAUUUGUAAAAUGGUUAUAAUAAUUUUACAAAGUAUGGAGGGACAGGAAAUAUUAGAGAAUGUCAUAGAACUGUGACCGAGGAAAGUCUCCGUUAAAUAUUUAUUAAUACUCAUGGCUUUGUAGGGGUGUCACUGUUCUUCCGCCUACAGGAAAUCUCCUGAAUUCAGCUCAAAUAUUUCAAAGAAUGGUAGAAUUGGAAGGCAGUUAAAAGCAGGCCACAAAGUGGUUGUAAGAGGUUCCUUAUAAGGUAUGUUAAAAGUAGUCAACACUCCAUCUAGUGCUUGAAACCUCACAAAAGGCUUCAGGCGGGACACUCGCCAUUUUGGGAAGCAGCCCAUCCCCUCUUGGCGGGGUCUGCCUGGAGCAGGCUCUGUCUCCCUCACGGACCACACCUGCUGUGGCCAGGGUGAGGUCAAGGGGCAGGCUUGGGCAUAUGCUAUUAAUAUUUUCUGCCAAAAUUCAUCAAGUUUACUCUUCAGGGGAUUGAUUUAGAUUGGGGGCUGCCUGAUUUUGCAUUUAUUAAAAUAUCUCAUUCAUGAAUUCCCUCACUUUGAAGUUUCUUUUGGAGGAAUAGGUGCCAUAACCAUGCAGGUGUUAUGCGUCUCUCUUGCUCUUUCCAUCCCUGCUCUGUAUGAAGUCCAGCCCAGCUGACCGACACCUGCAGCACGGAGGUCAGAACCAAGACCAGCGAGAGGCAACUUGGGGGCAGGGAAAAGAAAAAAGAAAUGAAAUAGCUGUCAUCAGUGAUUCGAGGCCCCAAGGGAGAGAGGAAGAGAUCAAAAGUCAACAUCUGUGAUUCUGCAAAUAGAAAAUGAAAUGUUUCCCAGGCAGAAGUGGUUCUAGGUUGCUUGGCUGGUCCCCAGUGAUACCAUUUGAGAUGGCUGUGCUCAAUCCAGAGCCUUUAAAGGGCACCCCAGAGCUGGCUGGCAUUGGGAAGCAGGAGUGCUGAGCCAGCCUCCCAGGGAAAACUAACGUAUGUGUGGAAAAGCCUGGGGAACAGUGGAGCCAGGCACAGAGAGUCCUCUGCUCCCUUGGAGACCUUAAGGAGGAGCAGGUUGAAAUAUCACCUUCCAUGGGACAGUUUGUACAGGUUGAUGUGGCUCAUACGCGCUGUUUCUGAUCUUCCGGCUCACCUCGUACAUGUGCAGCAGCUGACUCCACGCUCCUCAUUGCUUUUGUGGAAUCUUCUUCUGCUUCUCCAAAUGCCAGGCCAGCUCAUGUGUGGCUCUGCAGCGAAUUAACUAAUCCUGCAGGUCACCUGCACCAUGGAAAGGGAGUGAGACACAUCUGCCAGCCCUGCUGACUCAGGCCCAACACUGGACAUGGAAACAGCUGCCUAUGUACAUUGCUUAAUCAGCUCCCACAGUCGCACCCCCUUCCCUAAAUGUCUUCAUUCUACAUCACGUAAGUGGUUCUGUGAUUUUGAUCAAAUGCCAAUUGAUUGGUGGGAAGCCCAGUGACAUACAGUGACGAGAGCUGGGCUGUGAUCUCAAGACACACUGCAAAACCCUACCUUCUUCCAUGACAGCGCUUCCAUGCCCUGCUCUUUUUAAUCUUUGACACUCACGGUAACUUGUUCUAUAGGAAAAUUGGCUCAGCUUCUGCAGUAAGUCAAUAGGAUGGAGAAAAAUAGGGGUGAAGAAUAGAGGAGGGUGAACUUCUAGAUUACCAGAGAAUUAACAGACACAAUAACCAAAUACAACAUGAGGACCCUGUUCAGAUCCUAAUUAGAAUAAAUCAUCUUUAAAGAGACAUUUUUGAGAUGACUGGGAAAAGCUGAUUAGAGAUUAGAUAUUGGAUAAUAUUAAAAAAUUACUGCUCAUUUUUGAUAGGUGUGACAAUGACACUGGGGUUCUUUAGGAAAAUUUCUCAUUUUUGAGAUGCAUACUGAAAUCACAAUGCUUUAAAACAGUUCAGCAAAGAAAAAAGGGAUAAAUGAAGUAUCUUUGUCCAUUUGAGGUGCUAUAGAAAAACACCAUACAUUGAGUGGCUUUUAAACAAUAAACAUUUAUUUCUAACAGUCUGGAGGCUGGAAGUCCAAGAUCAAGGUGUCAGCAAAGUUGAUGUCUGAUGAGGGCCUGUUUCCUGGUGCCUUCUGGCUGUGUCCUCAUGUGGUACUAAGAGCAAGGUAACUCUCUGGGGUUUCUUUUUUAGGGGCACUAAUCCCAUUCAUGAGGGUGGAUAACCCUCAUGACUUAAUCACCUCCCAAAGGCCCCACCUCCCAAUGCCAUCACCUUGGGGAUUAGGAUUUCAAAAUAUGAAUUUGGUAGGGGUGACACACAAACUUUCAGACCAUAGCAGGAAGCAAUGUGGAUGCUUUUUGAUAGUUGUUGAAUCUAAGUAAUGGAUAAUGAAGCUUCUUUUACAACUUGCUGUAUUCUUGUGUGUUUAAAUCAGGUCAUUCCCACAGUGUGGUUCUCUCUGGCAUGUGGUUGGAUUUGGGUGUAAGACUUUAAGCAUCUCCAGUUGAUUCCCUGCCUGAAAACGGAUCAGGGAAAUGCAAAGUCCUUGAUGCUCAAGGUUGCUUUUCCCAGCUGCAUCUUGCUCUACGUCUCCAGAUACUUCUCUCUGCUCAUGGCUCAGAGAAAUUUGGCUUAUGGUGUGCGCCCUGCCCUGAGGCCCUCAACCAUGUUGCCUAUGUGCCCCCUCCAUGAAGAGGAGGCUGAAUGUGCUGCUCCUGGCUGAGCUGGUGAGACGAGUAUGUAGGGAUUUCUGUGGUCCAUGCAGAGCUGCAGCCUCCCCUCCCCCAGCCUUCAGAGAAGCCAGUCGCUCAGAGUCUUGACAUGCAAAUUCAAUUUGUGUGGGUUUAAAUGGGCAAAGACCUAGGUUUCUCAGACCUAGAGUCUGUGAAUUCUAUGGCUAUGUGGUAGAACCAUUGCAAUGGGGGUGGUGGGGCAGGGGGAGGAGGCAGUGCCAGGACUCUGAGGGACUCUUCUUCAUGUAAGGGUGAGGAGAAACUUCCCCUUUCCCCCAAAAGUUCUCUGAAAGAUCAACUCACAAUAAAGGCAGAUUAAGAAGAGAAAGAUUUAUUUAGGUAGAUUAAUAAGCAAAAGGUUUGUUUACCAUGUGCAUGGGGAGAAUCACAGAGUGAUUACUCAAUAUCCCAGUGGAAUUCAGAUAUUUUUAUACAAGCCUUUUAGACAGGAGGGGGAGAUGAGCAGUAUAGGUAGUUCUGUUUAGGGGCAAUAAAUGGUUGCUAGGGAGGAUGAAUAGAUGGGGGACAAAGAUUGACUUGUAAAUGAUUCUCUUAGCAAAUUAAAUCAACCUGAGAGGCAAGUAUUAUAUUUACAAUGAUUUGGGCCAGGUCUGGUUGCAUUCUUGAUCUUCUUUCCUGCAAUAUAUUGAGAUAACAGGGAGGAUAAGGGAAGUCCGGCACAGGUGCACACAGAGAAGGCAGAUGCUGUAGAAAUGCAGUGGUGACAGAAAGACCAUUCGUGAUAGCCCCUGGGGGGAAAAGUGUCUUUUUUGGUUUUUUUAAUUGAAUAUCUUCCAUAAGGGCUAAAUGAUGGAUUUUUGGGGUUUUUUUUUUUUUUUUUGGU